UACAGAGGGUGCGAGCGUUGUCCGGAAUCACUGGGCGUAAAGGGCGCGUAGGUGGUGGCUUAAGCGUGCGGUGAAAGCUCGGGGCUCAACCCCGAGUCGGCCGUGCGAACUGGGCUCACUGGAGCAUAGUAGAGGCAGGUGGAAUUCCGGGUGUAGCGGUGGAAUGCGUAGAGAUCCGGAAGAACACCGGUGGCGAAGGCGGCUCACUGGACCGGCAUUGACGCUGAGGUGCGAAAGCGUGGGGAGCAAACAGG
rnacentral:rRNA from 1 species